CUCAAUUGGGGGCUAGAAUCAAAUGAUGCCAUAUGCAUUCAAAUUUCAGCUUGAAUAGUUUAUGACACUGAGAACAUGAUAUGUUGUAACUUUCUAUCAGAGCACAAGUGUGAGUAGCCACGUCUUCUAUCCCCAAGAGACCAUCCCAAAGGUACAGACAAUGCUAGAGCUGUGGAACGGGCAGACAAACUGUUGAAAUAAGUACAUCAUGCCUGCCCCAGUUUCACAGGAGUACUUGAGUGGAGAGGAAGCCGAAAGUGGUGACUGUUUCGAAUCAAGCAUUGACAGAGGAGAAAAUAAAUGAAAAUGGAGCAGCCUGUGGAAGUGGAACAGGGCCAAAGUGUCCAAUGUUGUUAACGAAGCAGCCUGUUGAAAAAUAUUUGUUCACUCAUCAGAAAAUUAUAUGAACAACAGACAAGAAUGUAUAAAGUUUCCAGUGGACUUAAAGGGAGGGUUAAACUUGUCAGACAAUGAUCAAGAUAUUGCAACAUAAGCAAAACUGCAACAAAUUGUGAAUUAUAGUUUCUAGUUGUUAAUAAAGUA